GGGGUCGUGGAGCCUCCAGAAGGUCCAGGGUAUCCUUUCCCGCGGUCUAGAACCUUAUCCCAUGGCUUAGAGCCCCCGUGGCUGGGAGUCCCAGAACCCCUGUCCAGAUAUCCGGGUUCCACCCCCAGGACCCGUCGGGGGUCGCGGUGCCUCCCAGAGGCCUGCACACCCACCUCUCCGUCCGGCCCACCCGUUGGGCGCAGGCUCAGCUUAGGUCGCUCGGGAUCCGACAGACAGACUGGGAGCCUUCAGGCGGAAGGCGCCGCGACCGGGAUCCCAGUCCCCCUCAGCAACCGUCCCCGAGCCUCUGCAAGCGCCGCCCGUCCAGCCGCGCCGGCGGCCCCGCUAGCCCCGCCCCGCGCCGCCACACCGGCCAAUUCUAGGGACGGUCCCGCCCACCCUCGUGCUCCAUUGGGGAGAUUCAAGUUGACGGCCACGCCCCUAGGCAGGCCCCGCCCCGCGCGGGCCGAGUGGUUAGGGGGCUGUCGUCUUGGGGCUACUGCUGCCCGGACCUUGGCUGGUUGGGCGGGCGUCGGCAGGAGGACGCAGCUUUGCACCAAAGUUGGGGACGGCACCCAAAGCCGGGUCUCCAGCUUGGAUCUGGAUUUCCCCCAAGUUAGCUAGCUGCUCCUUUCUGAAGUGAAGUCAAUCCUCCAAAGGGGUUCCGCCCUAAGCCCCUAUCAGGCCUGUGGGUUUUGGACCUCGAAGAAAGAACGCUCUAUUUACCACCAAGGAGCUAUCAGGAUUCUGGAAUCUGACCAAUCAGGUGAAUAAUUCCUCCUUCUGGGGGUGGGGCCAGGAAAAGUAAACUGCUCUCAGGCUCUGCCAACGGGAAGAGGGAGGAAUGCCCAUGACCAUGUGUUGUUGGUGUGGGUGAGAGCCUGUAUGUAAUGGGUAAGCUGGUUCACAAUUAGGGAGUAAUUAGUUACCAGCUAAUUGAUGCACAAUACAGCUCAGGGGUUGGGAGGAGAACAAGGGACUGAAGCUCAGAAAGGAACCUCAGUCUCUUUCUGGAAAAAUACUGAGAGAGGGCAAUGAGGAAUCCCCAGGGUAAUGUUUGAAAACCUCUUUAAUGUAGCGGAAGGAGAUUUAAAUGUUCAGAAGCUCCCCAACAAAGGUCUUGAUCCCUUUGAGAAGCAGGUGUGUCUAACCAGGCUGUGGUGGUUGGGGCUGGAUGGUACAGAGUAGGGCUGAGGAAGAGUAAGCCUUUCUUACUUUGGGGAGCAAAAUACUUUUGGGUAUUAGGAAAGGUUCUUUGCAAAAACUAGAAACCUCCCUGGAUCACCCUGAGCAAAGGGGGACUUUAUUAGAAGGCCAUCAGAAGUGAUAUCAAGAUUAUAAAAAUGUCACGGUAGAAACAACAAACUUGUUGUUUUAGUCCAAAUUGUUUUCUGGUUUCCAGACUUCCUCACGAUCAGCCUGUUUGUUAGAAGUACACACUUGCAUUUGAGGUUUGGUCUUGGACCAGCAGUUUUGGCAUCUCCUGGGCCCUUAGAAAUGCAGAGUCUCAGGCCUCCCCCCUAGACCUACUGAAACAGAAUCUGUAUUUCAACAAGAGUUUCAGAGUGAUUCAUGUACACAUUAUAGUUUGGGUUUAUGGCUACAAGGGAAGAUGUUUCAUAAA
rnacentral:lncRNA from 1 species